rnacentral:piRNA from 1 species
ACCAGCAUCAUUGAGGUGA